GGUCUUUGAGGUGGUAAAGUUCGUUGCUACCACGCGCCUUCGGGCUAAAAGAGAUGCAGGAGAGGCGACGCCUGCCAAAGACC
ncrna:unclassified sequences skipping-rope RNA